ACAAUGUCUUGUGCAAUGAAAGCUAAUGCUUUCCUAUUCAAGAAUUCAGAACCGCAUACUAGUAUCUACACCUAGGACUUGUACUAAAUUUUCCAUAUAUUUCAAUGGCAGAAACAGUAAGAGUAGUAGACCUGUGUGGUUCAGAAUUCAGCAAUGCAUCACUAGAUGACAUCACUUCCUUCAUCGCCUGCAUUUAAUUCAUAGUGGAAUCAGUCAGCAGAGAGAGACGACAUGAUUAAUGCUCCCUAUCUCAGUGUUUCUUUCUUUGUCUUGUGUCUUGCAGUGACCAUUCUUGGUAAAAGUGUUGUCCAGACUCCUCCUGAUCUCCUGAAGAAAGAAGAUGAAUUUGCAGAGAUCGAAUGUUCACACAAAGUACAAAGCUAUAAUGUCAUACAGUGGUACAAACAAAGCCAGAGCAUCAUGGAUCUUCAGCUCAUGGGAUACCUUAAUAUUGGUUAUGAGAACAAAGAGACUGCGUUUGAAAACAAGAUCAAACUGAAAGGAGAUGGAAGAAAUAAUGGCACUCUGACUAUCAAGAACCUCAUGCUGAAUGACAGUGCAGUGUAUUUCUGUGCAGCAUAUUACACAGUGUUCAGAAUCACAUCUGUCUAAUACAAAAACCUCCUCCCCUGUUACAAGAUUAUCAGUGGCUGCA